UACGUAGGGUGCGAGCGUUAAUCGGAAUUACUGGGCGUAAAGCGUGCGCAGGCGGUUCGGAAAGACAGAUGUGAAAUCCCAGGGCUUAACCUUGGAACUGCAUUUUUAACUGCCGGGCUAAAGUAUGUCAGAGGGGGGUAGAAUUCCACGUGUAGCAGUGAAAUGCGUAGAGAUGUGGAGGAAUACCGAUGGCGAAGGCAGCCCCCUGGGAUAAUACUGACGCUCAUGCACGAAAGCGUGGGGAGCAAACAGG
rnacentral:rRNA from 1 species